rnacentral:rRNA from 1 species
UUUUAUUUGAGAGUUUGAUCCUGGCUCAGGAUGAACGCUGGCGGCGUGCCUAACACAUGCAAGUUGAGCGAUUUACUUCGGUAAAGAGCGGCGGACGGGUGAGUAACGCGUGGGUAACCUACCCUGUACACACGGAUAACAUACCGAAAGGUAUGCUAAUACGGGAUAAUAUAUUUGAGAGGCAUCUCUUGAAUAUCAAAGGUGAGCCAGUACAGGAUGGACCCGCGUCUGAUUAGCUAGUUGGUAAGGUAACGGCUUACCAAGGCGACGAUCAGUAGCCGACCUGAGAGGGUGAUCGGCCACAUUGGAACUGAGACACGGUCCAAACUCCUACGGGAGGCAGCAGUGGGGAAUAUUGCA